rnacentral:misc_RNA from 1 species
CCUCCUCCUCCUCCUCCUCCUUCUUCUUCUUCUUCUUUCUUCUCUCUCAAACCCAAAUCUUCCAUUUCUUUUCUGUCCAAUUCUGAUGGCUUCUUCUUCUUAUUCUUUGCUUUUCUUGUUGCUAUUAAUGUUAUCAAGGCGCUGUUACGGUUUUGGCACUUUCGGCUUCGAUAUUCACCACCGGUAUUCGGAUCCGGUCAAGGGGAUUUUAGCCCUUGAUGACUUGCCAGACAAGGGUAGUCUCCAGUAUUAUGCUACUAUGGCUCACCGUGACCGAUUAAUCCAUGGCCGUCGACUUGCUACUUCUGAUGAUUCGACGCCACUCACUUUCUUUGAUGGCAACCAAACUUAUGGGAUCAGUUCUCUGGGAUUUUUAUAUUACGCUAAUGUUUCAGUUGGGACGCCAAGUUUAUCAUUUCUUGUAGCACUAGACACUGGCAGUGAUCUCUUCUGGUUACCAUGUGAUUCUUGUAGAAGUUGCUUCCAUCGCUUACAGAACCCAUCCGGGGAGGAUAUACCCCUUAAUGUGUACAGUAUUAAUGAAUCAUCAACAGGCAAAAAGGUCCCCUGGAACUCCUCCUUGUGUUCGCAACAAAACCGAUGCUUCUUUGCUCAAAGUGAUUGUUGUUAUCAAGCGUUAUAUCUUUCUGAAAACACCUUAUCAAGUGGGUUCUUGGUUGAGGAUUUAUUGCAUUUAACUACAGAUGACACUCAACAGAAAGCUCACAACGCAACCAUCACAUUUGGUUGUGGUGAAAGGCAAACAGGUGCAUUUUCGGACGGUGCCGCUCCCAAUGGCUUAUUUGGGCUUGGUAU